UACAGAGACCCCGAGCAUUAUCCGGAAUUACUGGGCGUAAAGCGCGAGCAGCCGGUCGUUUUAGUCCGAUGUAAAACCAUGGGGCCCAACUCCAUGACCGCAUUGGAAACGGGACGACUCGAGCGGAUGAGAGGAAGGCGGAACGUAUGGUGUAGGGGUGAAAUCCACUGAUAUCAUACGGAACACCAAAAGCGAAGGCAGCCUUCUAGCGUCCUGCUGACGGUCAAUCGCGAAAGCGUGGGGAU
rnacentral:rRNA from 1 species